rnacentral:tRNA from 1 species
UUAAAUCCGUUGGCUUUAUUGACCGUGAGGGUUCAAGUCCCUCUACCCCCAA